rnacentral:tRNA from 1 species
CCCUGACUAUUUCAGUUGGUAAAGAAUCUGCCUGCAAUGCAGGGGAUCCCGGUUCGAUUCCUAGGUCAGGAA